AACAGGAUUAGAUACCCUGGUAGUUCGUCCCGUACAGGAUGAGUAGUAAGUGUUAGGGGGUUUCCGCCCCUUAGUGUUGCAGUUAACGCAUUAAGCGCUCCGCCUGGGGAGUACGACCGCAAGGUUGAAACUCAAAGGAAUUGCCGGGGACCCGCACAAGCGGUGGAGCAUGUGGUUUAAUUCGAAGCGGGGCGAAGAACCUUACCAAAUCUUGACAUCCUUUGACCCUUCUAGAGAUAGAAGUUUCCCCUUCGGGGGACAAAGUGACAGGUGGUGCAUGGUUGUCGUCAGCUCGUGUCGUGAGAUGUUGGGUUAAGUCCCGCAACGAGCGCAACCCUUAAGCUUAGUUGCCAUCAUCAAGU
rnacentral:rRNA from 1 species